AGGCCCGUGGUGUAACGGUAGCACAGAGGAUUCUGGUUCCUUCAGUCGGGGUUCAAAUCCCUGCGGGCCUGCCA
rnacentral:tRNA from 1 species